CCUACGGGAGGCAGCAGUCGAGAAUCAUUCACAAUGGGGGAAACCCUGAUGGUGCGACGCCGCGUGGGGGAAUGAAGGUCUUCGGAUUGUAAACCCCUGUCAUGUGGGAGCAAAUUAAAAAGAUAGUACCACAAGAGGAAGAGACGGCUAACUCUGUGCCAGCAGCCGCGGUAAUACAGAGGUCUCAAGCGUUGUUCGGAAUCACUGGGCGUAAGGCGUGCGUAGGCUGUUUCGUAAGUCGGGUGUGAAAGGCGCGGGCUCAACCCGCGGACGGCACAUGAUACUGCGAGGCUAGAGUAAUGGAGGGGGAACCGGAAUUCUCGGUGUAGCAGUGAAAUGCGUAGAUAUCGAGAGGAACACUCGUGGCGAAGGCGGGUUCCUGGACAUUAACUGACGCUGAGGCACGAAGGCCAGGGGAGCGAAAGGGAUUAGAUACCCCUGUAGUC
rnacentral:rRNA from 1 species